rnacentral:rRNA from 1 species
UACGUAGGGUGCGAGCGUUAAUCGGAAUUACUGGGCGUAAAGCGUGCGUAGACGGUUAUGUAAGUCGGGUGUGAAAGCCCCGGGCUCAACCUGGGAAUUGCAUUCGAGACUGUGUAGCUAGGGUACGGAAGAGGGAAGCGGAAUUUCAGGUGUAGCGGUGAAAUGCGUAGAUAUCUGAAGGAACACCAGUGGCGAAAGCGGCUUCCUGGUCCAGUACCGACGUUCAGGCACGAAAGCGUGGGGAGCAAACAGG